GACGAACGCUGGCGGCGUGCUUAACACAUGCAAGUCGAACGGAAAGGCCCUGCUUUUGUGGGGUGCUCGAGUGGCGAACGGGUGAGUAACACGUGAGUAACCUGCCCUUGACUUUGGGAUAACUUCAGGAAACUGGGGCUAAUACCGGAUAGGAGCUCCUGCUGCAUGGUGGGGGUUGGAAAGUUUCGGCGGUUGGGGAUGGACUCGCGGCUUAUCAGCUUGUUGGUGGGGUAGUGGCUUACCAAGGCUUUGACGGGUAGCCGGCCUGAGAGGGUGACCGGCCACAAUGGUACUGAGAUACGGACCAGAGUGCUACGGGAGGCAGCAGGGGGGAGUAUUGCACAAUGGGCGGAAGCCUGAGGCGGCAGCGCCGCGGGCGGGAUGACGGCCUUCGGGUUGUGAACCGCUUUCGCCUGUGACGAAGCGGGAGUGACGGUAAUGGAUAAAGAAGCACCGGCUAACUACGUG
rnacentral:rRNA from 1 species